AGCAGUAGCCGCGGUAAUACGUAGGUGGCAAGCGUUGUCCGGAGUUAUUGGGCGUAAAGGGCUCGCAGGCGGUUUCUUAAGUCUGAUGUGAAAGCCCCCGGCUCAACCGGGGAGGGUCAUUGGAAACUGGGAAACUUGAGUGCAGAAGAGGAGAGUGGAAUUCCACGUGUAGCGGUGAAAUGCGUAGAGAUGUGGAGGAACACCAGUGGCGAAGGCGACUCUCUGGACUGCAACUGACGCUGAGGAGCGAAAGCGUGGGGAGCGAACAGGAUUAGAUACCCCAGUAGUCCCUGUCUCUUAUAC
rnacentral:rRNA from 1 species